GCGGGGCGCGGUGACGUGUGCCUGUAGUCCCAGCUAUUCAGGAGGCUGAGGCUGGAGGAUUGCUUGAUUCCAGGAGUUCUGGGCUAUAGUGUGCUAUGCUGAUUGGGUGUUUGUACUAAGUUUGGCAUCAAUAUGGUGACCUUCUGGGAGUGGGGGACCACCAGGUUUGCCUAAGGAGGGUGUGAGCCGGCCCAGGUCAGAAAUGGAGCAGGUCAAAACUCCUGUGCUGAUCAGUAGUGGGACCACACCUGUGAAUAGCCACUGCACUCCAGCCUGGGCAACAUAGCAAGACCUCAUCUCU
rnacentral:SRP_RNA from 1 species